rnacentral:rRNA from 1 species
AUAUUGGACAAUGGGCGAAAGCCUGAUCCAGCCAUGCCGCGUGAGUGAUGAAGGCCCUAGGGUUGUAAAAUUCUUUCACCGGGGAAGAUAAUGACGGUACCCGGAGAAGAAGCCCCGGCUAACUUCGUGCCAGCAGCCGCGGUAAUACGAAGGGGGCUAGCGUUGCUCGGAUUUACUGGGCGUAAAGGGCGCGUAGGCGGACAGUUAAGUUAGGGGUGAAAGCCCGGGGCUCAACCUCGGAAUUGCCUUUGAUACUGGCUGUCUUGAGUACGGGAGAGGUGUGUGGAACUCCGAGUGUAGAGGUGAAAUUCGUAGAUAUUCGGAAGAACACCAGUGGCGAAGGCGACACACUGGCCCGUUACUGACGCUGAGGCGCGAAAGCGUGGGGAGCAAA